rnacentral:rRNA from 1 species
ACUGGGAUAACUGGCCGAAAGGCUUGCUAAUACCAGAUAAGCCCACGAGCUCAGAGGAGCACGAGGGAAAAGGCGGCCUCUGUAAACAAGCUGUCACAUUGAGAUGGGUCCGCGGCCCAUCAGCUAGUUGGCGGGGUAACGGCCCACCAAGGCGAAGACGGGUAGCUGGUCUGAGAGGAUGAUCAGCCACACUGGAACUGAGACACGGUCCAG